GAAGGAUAGGAAUAAGAAGAAAGAGAAACAAGGGGGAGGAGGAAAGAAGAUCAACACAGCAGUACGUUUGCCUUCUUUUAAUCUGCCGCCUGCCCAGUUGGGCUCGCGCAGGGAAGUCAGUCUCUUUCUUCUUCUUCUUGUUCGCAUAAUCAGACUCGGCAAAGACAUAAUUUUAAAAGAGGAGGGAAGACAGACAGAUCGAUAGAUAGAAAGA
rnacentral:ribozyme from 11 species